rnacentral:rRNA from 1 species
AACGCUAGCGGCAGGCUUAACACAUGCAAGUCGAGGGGCAGCAUGACACGGAGAUUCGUCGAAGUGUCGAUGGCGACCGGCGCAAGGGUGCGUAACGCGUGAGCAACUUGCCCGUUCAGGGGGAUAACCGGUGGAAACGCCGACUAAUACCCCAUGGCAUCAGUUUGAGGCAUCUCAUGCUGAUUAAAGAAAUUCGGAAACGGAUAGGCUCGCGUGACAUUAGCUAGAUGGCGGGGUAACGGCCCACCAUGGCUACGAUGUCUAGGGGUUCUGAGAGGAAGGUCCCCCACACUGGAACUGAGACACGGUCCAGACUCCUACGGGAGGCAGCAGUGAGGAAUAUUGGUCAAUGGUCUGACGACUGAACCAGCCAUGCCGCGUGAAGGUCACGGCCCUAUGGGUCUUAAACUUCUUUUGUAAGGGAGCAAUAAGGUGCACGUGUGCAUCGAUGAGAGUACCUUACGAAUAAGCAUCGGCUAACUCCGUG